rnacentral:rRNA from 1 species
GUAGCCUACGGGACGUAGCAGUGGGGAAUAUUGCACAAUGGGCGAAAGCCUGAUGCAGCAACGCCGCGUGAAGGAAGAAGGUCUUCGGAUCGUAAACUUCUGUCCUUGGGGAAGAUAAUGACGGUACCCUUGGAGGAAGCCCCGGCUAACUACGUGCCAGCAGCCGCGGUAAUACGUAGGGGGCAAGCGUUAUCCGGAAUUAUUGGGCGUAAAGAGUGCGUAGGUGGUUACUUAAGCGCGGGGUUUAAGGUAAUGGCACAACCAUUGUUCGCCCUGCGAACUGGGUUACUGGAGU